rnacentral:rRNA from 1 species
UACGUAGGUCCCGAGCGUUGUCCGGAUUUAUUGGGCGUAAAGCGAGCGCAGGUGGUUUAUUAAGUCUGGUGUAAAAGGCAGUGGCUCAACCCCGGGCAUGCAUUGGAAACUGGCGGGCUGGAGUGCCGGAGGGGUAAGCGGAAUUCCUAGUGUAGCGGUGAAAUGCGUAGAUAUUAGGAGGAACACCAGUGGCGAAGGCGGCUUACUGGACGGCAACUGACGCUGAGGCUCGAAAGCGUGGGGAGCAAACAGG